rnacentral:rRNA from 1 species
GACGAACGCUGGCGGCGGGCUUAACACAUGCAAGUCGAACGGAAGAGCCCUGCUUUUUUGUGGUUCUCGAGUGGCAAACGUGUGAGUAACCUGUGAAUCACCUUCCUUGUACUUUGUGAUAACUUCAGGCAAGUGGUGCUAAUACCUGCGUGGAGCUCCUGCUGCAUGGUGGUGUUUGGACCGUUUCGGCGGUUAGGGGUGGACUCGCGGCUUAUUAGCUUGUUGGGUGGGUAGUUGCUUACCAAGGCUUUGACGGGUAGCCUGCCUGAGAGGUUAAACGGCCACAUUGGGACUGAGAUACGGCCCAGACUCCUACGGGAGGCAGAAGUGGGGAAUAUUGCACAAUGGGCGGAAGCCUGAUGCAGAAACGCCGCGUGCGGAAUGACGGCUUUCGGGUUGUAAACCGCUUUCGCCUGUGACGAAGCGUGAGUGACGGUAAUAGGAAAAGAAGCACCGGCUAACUACGUG